rnacentral:sRNA from 1 species
AGCAGCCGCGGUAAUUCCAGCUCCAAUAGCGUAUAUUAAAGUUGUUGCAGUUAAAAAGCUCGUAGUUGAAUUUCGGGGUUAGUAAGUUGGUCAUGCCUCCGGUAUGUACUGGCUUUACUGAUUCCUCCUUCUUGAUGAACUGUAAUGUCAUUAAUUUGGCGUUGCAGGGAAUCAGGACUGUUACUUUGAAAAAAUUAGAGUGUUUAAAGCAGGCAUACGCUUGAAUACAUUAGCAUGGAAUAAUGAAAUAGGACGUUUGAUCCUAUUUUGUUGGUUUCUAGGAUUGACGUAAUGAUUAAUAGGGAUAGUUGGGGGCAUUAGUAUUCAAUUGUCAGAGGUGAAAUUCUUGGAUUUAUUGAAGACUAACUACUGCGAAAGCAUUUGCCAAGGAUGUUUUCAUUAAUCAAGAACGAAAGUUAGGGGAUCGAAGACGAUCAGAUACCGUCGUAGUCUUAACCAUAAACUAUGCCGACUAGGGAUCGGAUGAUGUUAUUUUUUAAUGACUCAU